AUGCCACUCUCCCACCUUCUGUGUGUGUCCAUGGCCUUUAUCUACUCCUACUCUGGAUUCAGUGUGGCCCAGAAAGUGAUUCAAGUCCAGCCAUCCACAUCUGGUCAGGAGGGAGAAGCAGUCACCCUGGACUGUUCAUAUGGAACGGGUUGGAGUGCAUAUGAUUUAUUUUGGUACAAACAACUUCCCAGUGGAGAGAUCAUUUUCCUUAUUCGUCAGAGCUCUUCUGGUGCAAAUGAAAUCAGCGGUCGCUAUUCUGUCCAGUUCAGGAGAGCAGUUAAAUCCAUCAAGCUUACCAUUUCACCCUUACAGCGGGAAGACUCAGCAAAGUAUUUCUGUGCUCUCUGGGCAACCACAGUGUUUGAAUUGAUGGUGAAGCAGUUCAUUUGCCAUCACAGUACAGGACAAAGAGGAGCUGAAGGAGGAGGUGUGGUGGGAAGUGAAGCAGCUGUGAAUUCACA